CCUGUCCCGCCGCACCGCAACUUUCACCUUCUUCCUCGGGAUCCUCCUAGAUCCCCUUCUCACCCAACCAGCACUCGAGGCCUCCCCUCAAUCCACCCGAACUAGCCCCCGAUCCAACCCAUCCGCCACCUCCCGUGCCUCCUCAAGCUCGACACUGCUGCCUCGUGCCGCUCACCGAAGCAACCAGCGACGACCCUCACCUCCAGGACCUCCUCCUCGCCGCCCCAUCUCGUCUCCAAAACUGGAACACCGCUACCAUGGUCGACCUCGACGUGCCUCGCCGCUGUCGGGAAUGGAAGGGUCGACCUCGGUUUUGCCUCCUCGCCUCCUUCGAUGCACCACCAGGAGCUCUUAAAGCCUCGCUCUGCCCCGUCUUGCGAGCACACCGGCGCCUUGGGCCGAAGCCACUAGGACCCCAGGCUGGCCCCGUCCCUCCUCCUCCUCCUUUACUGUGCAACACCGCCGGCUACCUCUUAGAGUAUCGCCGCCGGACCAGCAGGUCCCCGUCUCACCGCCCCUCUCUUACUCCCUGCCUUUGCCUCCUUUGUUUUUUGUGUCUCCCGCUCUCACGUUCUUCAUUAGGCCCAGCAUCUCUGCUGCCAGGGACCUGCAGGAGGGAGCCACCGCGGGGAAUCGGCAGGCCCGACCUCCUCUUGCCUAGAUCUGGCCUCUGGGACCCAUCCCCGACCUUGCCUUCCUCCAAGCCUUCCUCGGCGUCGUCUUCACGCCGAUGCUUCCCUGAAACUCCAGCCUCGCCUGCUCCAGCGCUGGUCGCUGCGUUGACCGUGCCUCCAGCUUCCUGGGCCACAAGCGUGCAUCAGGCCCAGCGCCUCCUGACCUCGCAGCUGGGCUGCACCCAGCCAGCCUCUCUGCUGCAAGCUGCUCCACGGGCCUAAGGCUUCAAAGGCCCAUGGUUCUCGGUAUCAUUGCGAUUGAGAGGAUCCGUUCGACUACGUUGGUCCGUCUACUUCUUGGUUUCGGUCUUCUUCCUAGCGGAUCUCAGGCAAGAUGACCAUUACCCUCGAUAUCACUUCUAUAUUUGCUUGCUAGUUGUUUG